rnacentral:lncRNA from 1 species
CUAAUUAAGGCCUACUAACUGUAUUACUACUGGCUAAUUAAGGCCUACUAACUGUAUGACUACUGGCUAAGUAAGGCCUACUAACUGUAUUACUACUGGCUAAUUAAGGCCUACUAGCUGUAUUACUACUGGCUAAUUAAGGCCUACUAACUGUAUUACUACUGGCAAAUUAAGGUCUACUAACUGUAUUACUACUGGCUAAGUAAGGCCUACUAACUGUAUUAGUACUGGCUAAUUAAGGCCUACUAACUGUAUUACUACUGGCUAAUUAAGGCCUACUAACUGUAUUACUACUGGCUAAGUAAGGCCUACUAACUGUAUUAAUACUGGCUAAUUAAGGCCUACUAACUGUAUUACUACUGGCUAAGUAAGGUCUACUAACUGUAUGACUACUGGCUAAUUAAGGCCUACUAACUGUAUUACUACUGGCUAAUUAAGGCCUACUAACUGUAUUAAUACUGGCUAAUGAAGGCCUACUAGCUGUAUUACUACUGGCUAAGUAAGGCCUACUAACUGUAUUACUACUGGCUAAGUAAGGCCUACUAACUGUAUUAGUACUGGCUAAUUAAGGCCUACUAACUGUAUUACUACUGGCUAAGUAAGGAACACUAACUGUAUUCCUAUCACAAUAAAUAUGAUUUACUCCUACCUUCUUAUUGCUCUCUGUCUCAUCCCUCUGUCUCUUCUUUUUCGUCUCUUUCCUCUCCUUUCUGACCUUCUCAUUCUCUUUCUUCUUUUUCACAUUCAUUCUCUCCUUCCCUUGAUCUGUUUCCUUACUGGAUUGGUCUUCCUCCUUAUUUUUCUGUUUUUAUUCUCCUUCACUCCCUCUCCUCCUCCUCUCUCUCCCUCUUCACCUUCCUGUUGUUGGGGUAACCCUUCAACGGCAGCCCUCGCUUUUUCUGUAUCUGCCAUCUUCUUCUUACCUUCUUUCUUCAUCCGUUCUCCUCUUUUCUUCUCUAACUCAGAGGCCUUAGCCUUGCUCUCUACUCCUCUCUCUCCUUCACAUGAUUCUCCUGUCUUCUUUCCUACAUCAAUGUUUCUCUCCUUAUUUCCACCCCCCUCUUCUUUCCACUUAUUCUCACUCUUUUCACCUCUCCUUUCUCUCCAUGCCCUGGCUUCUUCUCACGGGGCACCAGCGGGGCAAACUUCGCCUUCUCUUUCUGACCUGUGUAAUGUUAUCAAAGACAUGUCGUGAUGCAGUCUGUCAACAUGUCGACAAAUCCAAAGCUAGCCAAGUUAGCAAUGUAGUUAGAUAUGUAAUUAACUGCUAGCAAAUUAGCUAGCUAGUUACAUAAAGUUAGCAACAAUCCUCGACUAACUUAGCUAGCUAACGGAAAGUUACCUAGCCAAAGGACUAACGACGUUAACGUAGCUAAACUGAAAGCUAUCUAUUUAACUUUCUAACGUUAACUAGCAAGCAAACUAGAUGCCGAAUGUAGCUAAUAGUUAGCUAACGGCUUCUAGCUAGCUGGCUAUCUAUCGUUACACUGACC